rnacentral:lncRNA from 1 species
GAUGAAGAUUCCAGAGGGUUUAGUGGUUUGAGGAGAGAAGCCAGAGAGAAGAGGAUGGAGGACCCGGCCUCUAUUCCCUGGCGUGGUCUCAAGAUGCACCGAGUGGCCACAUGCAGGGCUUUAAAUGCUUCCCUGGAAGGCGGAUAAAUCCCACUGCCGUCUUUCUCUGAUGCGUGAGUGUUAAUCUUUCAGUUGUGUCCAACUCUUUGCGACCCCACAGACUGUAGCUGACAGGCUCCUGUGUCCAUGGAAUUCUCCAGGUAAGAAUAUUGCAGUGAGUAGUCAUUCCCUUCUCCAGGGGAUUUUCCCAAACCAGGGGUCAAACCCAGGUUUCCUGCAGCAUUCUUAUUUUUUUUUUUAGUAUCAUACCACUCUAGGCUCCAUGGGGUAUACCCAUCAAUGCAUAGGGAAGAGAUGACUUUUUUUUUUUUUUUUUACAGUUGCCCUCUGCAGAGUCAUCUUCUGGAAGAAAACCCCAAUUGCCAAGGAUAAACAUAUUUUUGAUCGUCUUCCUUUUUUUUGUGUGGUACAAAGUCCCUUCAGUGGUGUCUGACUCUUUGCGACCCUAUGGACGAGAGCCCGUCAUGUUCCUCUGUCCUUGGGAUUCUCCAGGCAAGUAUACUGGAGUGGAUUGCCAAGCCCUCCUCCAGGAGAGCAUCCUGACCCAGGGAUCGAACCUGCAUCUCUUACAUCUCUUGCAUCGGCAGGCAGCUUCUUUACCACCAGUGCCACCUGGGAAGCCUAUUCACCAGUAGACGGACAUUUUGGUUGUUUCUAUUUUUUGGCUAUUAUUAAUAAAGCUAUUUUGAACACUCA